UACUUUUUUUCAAAACAUGAUUCAUUAAUUGUAAUAAGCUAACAUUGAACUUUCCUCAAGCAUUUCAACAUUAUAUCAUUCCGAUUGCAUAAUAAACUAUUUUUUCAAAGAUUUGCUUAAAAUCUUACGUUUGCUAGUGUUUAUAUUCAAACAACACACGUGACACACAUGACUAAACCUGAUUGGUUGUUGUCAUAGUAACACGUCACGGUGCUAUUUGAAACUUGUUCAGUUCAGUUCAGUUGUUCACGAGUUGCAUGCGGUUGCUUGCAGUAAACGUAUAAACUGUUAAAUUAGAUGGCGACUCUGCAUUAAACGUAUUUAUUUAAUUAAUCGGCGAUCAUAUUUCACCAGAGGACUAAGAUAAAACAACUCGAUUUAAAAUAUGAGCAGUUUUAGUGGAUCUGACGUUGAGGGAAAAAGUAUUUCGCUUUUUGUUUGGAGAUGAACGAGACAACACGAGGAUCAACUGCUAUUGACAUUUUUGAAUCGGGGCAAAUGUGGAGUGAAGAAAAACGUUUGCAACACAUCCAUUCCAGGUGGCUAAUUUCUGUCCUUUUGAAUUAUUCUUGUAAAAACCGUUUGUUUUUAUUGUAAAGCUGUAAGGGACUUGGCCUAGUCAUCCUUGCAUAUACCAUUUGGCAGGGCACCAGACUAACUUUUUUUACUAGGAGCACAGUGGCCCCCAACUGAAAAUUUUAGGGGCGAAACCAGAAAAUUUAGGGGCACACACGGUAAAACAACAUGCUAACCAAAUAUUCACAUGUCUACUAAUUUAGACUGUAUUACUAAUAAA